rnacentral:rRNA from 1 species
CAUUAAAAAGGGGUCGCAAGACCCGUUUUUAAAACCUACCACCACCUAUCACCUAUGGGUGAGACACUCUUGUCUAUGGAUGAGAUGGAGGAGGUAGGGCUUUUUAAAAUCCGAUUAUUAUAAAAAUCGUCUAAUGACGAACCAAAAAAAAAUCAUCAAAACUUUCAACAAUGGAUCUCUUGGCUCUCGCAUCGAUGAAGAACGCAGCGAAUUGCGAUAAGUAGUGUGAAUUGCAGAAUUCUGUGAAUCAUCGAAUCUUUGAACGCAUAUUGCGCUCUCUGGUAUUCCGGARAGCAUGCCUGUUUGAGGGUAAUUAAAUAAAAUCUUUGACCUUUUGUGGGUCAAGGGAUAUGGGCAUUCCGCGUCUUUAGCGGUAGUCUGAAAUGUAUGGUUAGUCUCAUCAAAUUGAGACGCGUAAUAAUGAUUAUUUCGCGAAACGCUUGAUGAGCUACCAAGUUUUGACGCAUUCAACUCCGGUUGGGUGAGGUCGAAACAAAUAAUUUUUGACAUUACCUCAAAUCAGGUAGGAAUACCCGCUGAACUUAAGCAUAUCAAUAA